GCCUGGGUGGCUCAGUGGUUGAGCAUCUGCCUUUGGCUCAGGUCAUGAUCCUGGGGUCCUGGGAUCGAGACCCACCUCGGGCU
rnacentral:tRNA from 1 species